rnacentral:rRNA from 1 species
GAUGAACGCUAGCGGCAGGCCUAACACAUGCAAGUCGAGGGGUAUAGUAGCAAUACUAGAGACCGGCGCACGGGUGCGUAACGCGUAUGCAAUCUACCUUUUACAGAGGAAUAGCCCAGAGAAAUUUGGAUUAAUGCCUCAUAUUAUAUAAGAAUCGCAUGGUUUUUAUAUUAAAGUUUAGGCGGUAAAAGAUGAGCAUGCGUCCCAUUAGUUAGUUGGUAAGGUAACGGCGUACCAAGACGAUGAUGGGUAGGGGUCCUGAGAGGGAGAUCCCCCACACUGGUACUGAGACACGGACCAGACUCCUACGGGAGGCAGCAGUGAGGAAUAUUGGACAAUGGGCGCAAGCCUGAUCCAGCCAUGCCGCGUGCAGGAAGACGGUCCUAUGGAUUGUAAACUGCUUUUAUACAGGAAGAAACACCACUACGUGUAGUGACUUGACGGUACUGUAAGAAUAAGGAUCGGCUAACUCCGUG